rnacentral:rRNA from 1 species
UACGUAGGUGGCAAGCGUUGUCCGGAUUUACUGGGCGUAAAGAGCGCGCAGGCGGUCGUUCAAGUCGCGUGUGAAAGCCCCCGGCUCAACUGGGGAGGGUCACGCGAUACUGAUCGACUCGAAGGCAGGAGAGGGUAGUGGAAUUCCCGGUGUAGUGGUGAAAUUCGUAGAUAUCAGGAGGAACACCAGUGGCGAAGGCGGCUUUCUGGACGGUAACUGACGCUGAGACGCGAAAGCGUGGGGAGCAAACAGG